GAUGAACGCUGGCGGCGUGCCUAAUACAUGCAAGUCGAGCGAAUGGAUUAAGAGCUUGCUCUUAUGAAGUUAGCGGCGGACGGGUGAGUAACACGUGGGUAACCUGCCCAUAAGACUGGGAUAACUCCGGGAAACCGGGGCUAAUACCGGAUAACAUUUUGAACCGCAUGGUUCGAAAUUGAAAGGCGGCUUCGGCUGUCACUUAUGGAUGGACCCGCGUCGCAUUAGCUAGUUGGUGAGGUAACGGCUCACCAAGGCAACGAUGCGUAGCCGACCUGAGAGGGUGAUCGGCCACACUGGGACUGAGACACGGCCCAGACUCCUACGGGAGGCAGCAGUAGGGAAUCUUCCGCAAGGGACGAAAGGCUGACGGGGCAACGCCGCGUGAGUGAUGAAGGCUUUCGGGUCGUAAAACUCUGUUGUUAGGGAAGAACAAGUGCUAGUUGAAUAAGCUGGCACCUUGACGGUACCUAACCAGAAAGCCACGGCUAACUACGUGCCAGCCGCCGCGGUAA
rnacentral:rRNA from 1 species